rnacentral:rRNA from 1 species
ACCGGUGGCUCGAGUGGUGGCCACUAUUACUGGGCUUAAAGCGUUCGUAGCUGGCUUGUUAAGUCUCUGGGGGAAUUUUUCGGCCCCACCGGGAGGGGGCCUCAGGGAUACUGGCAGGCUAGGGACCGGAAGAGGUGAGAGGUACUCCAGGGGUAGGAGUGAAAUCCUGUAAUCCUUGGGGGACCACCUGUGGCGAAGGCGUCUCACCAGGACGGCUCCGACAGUGAGGAACGAAAGCUGGGGGAGCAAACCG